UACGUAGGGUGCAAGCGUUUGUCCGGAAUUAUUGGGCGUAAAGAGCUCGUAGGCGGUCUGUCGCGUCUGCUGUGAAAACCUAGGGCUUAACUCUGGGCGUGCAGUGGGUACGGGCAGGCUAGAGUGCGGUAGGGGGAGACUGGAAUUCCUGGUGUAGCGGUGAAAUGCGCAGAUAUCAGGAGGAACACCGGUGGCGAAGGCGGGUCUCUGGGCCGUAACUGACGCUGAGGAGCGAAAGCAUGGGGAGCGAACAGG
rnacentral:rRNA from 1 species